GUGGGCAACCUGCCUGUAAGACUGGGAUAACUUCGGGAAACCGGAGCUAAUACCGGAUAACAUAUGAGACCACAUGGUCUUAUAUUAAAAGAUGGCUUUUAGCUAUCACUUACAGAUGGGCCCGCGGCGCAUUAGCUAGUUGGUGAGGUAACGGCUCACCAAGGCGACGAUGCGUAGCCGACCUGAGAGGGUGAUCGGCCACACUGGGACUGAGACACGGCCCAGACUCCUACGGGAGGCAGCAGUAGGGAAUCUUCCGCAAUGGACGAAAGUCUGACGGAGCAACGCCGCGUGAGCGAAGAAGGUCUUCGGAUCGUAAAGCUCUGUUGUUAGGGAAGAACAAGUAUCGUUCGAAUAGGGCGGUACCUUGACGGUACCUAACCAGAAAGCCACGGCUAACUACGUGCCAGCAGCCGCGGUAAUACGUAGGUGGCAAGCGUUAUCCGGAAUUAUUGGGCGUAAAGCGCGCGCAGGCGGUCCUUUAAGUCUGAUGUGAAAGCCCACGGCUCAACCGUGGAGGGUCAUUGGAAACUGGGGGACUUGAGUGCAGAAGAGGAGAGCGGAAUUCCACGUGUAGCGGUGAAAUGCGUAGAGAUGUGGAGGAACACCAGUGGCGAAGGCGGCUCUCUGGUCUGUAACUGACGCUGAGGCGCGAAAGCGUGGGGAGCGAACAGGAUUAGAUACCCUGGUAGUCCACGCCGUAAACGAUGAGUGCUAAGUGUUAGAGGGUUUCCGCCCUUUAGUGCUGCAGCAAACGCAUUAAGCACUCCGCCUGGGGAGUACGGUCGCAAGACUGAAACUCAAAGGAAUUGACGGGGGCCCGCACAAGCGGUGGA
rnacentral:rRNA from 1 species